CUCCUCCAUUAACCCCUGCAGAGUAUUCACUGACUGCUGGAACUAGAGCAUCACUGAGAAGCAAGAGACAGACUGACUUAAUAGAAGGAGAGCUGCCCCUCCAGGAUGAUGCCACCAUCACAGAAGCGAUGUGAGGAAAGUGGAAUGAACUUGGACUUUGAAUCAAAUGCCUGUUCUGCUGUUUGCAAGUGUGAUCUUUGGGUGUGCUUCCUAAUCUGUGAGCUUCAACUUCCUCCUCUGUAAACCAAGAUCAAAGAAAAACAGAGCAACCUACUUAUCUGGUGCCCAUCCCCUUGGCAGAACACUCCUCUGAAGGAUGACGGUUUGGCUGUGCCAGGGCAGAGCUGCCCACACCAAAUGAGCUUUCACAGCAACAUCUGAUGAGGAACUCACUUGCCUACCUUUCCUUGACAGCUGGGGCCUGCCAGCCUUGAAGCAUGACUCCACAACGCCCCUACCCAAGGCUAUGGAUGUUGCUGCUGCUGUUUUCUAUUUAAUUCAGGUUUCUGCUUGGAAAGGAAGAAGGCAGAAGAGCCAGCGAAGGUUUGUGUGAAUGAUACUUGCAGAAAAAACACUGGUAGCAGUCACAAAACUUUAAAAAUUAAAGUGCCAGCGAGGUGGCUUUUGGUGGCCACAUGAAAGCUGUUAACCCCAGCUUUCACAAGUGCUGGGCUUUUGAGUAAGAGGGGAGGGUCUUUCUGGAAAAGUGUGAGACCUGUUACCUUUGUAGCAGCAAAAGCAUCCACGGCUAGCGUUUUCCAAGCUCACUGCUACUUGUUGCAGUCUAGCAGUGUUGUGUCUCCUGAAAUUCCUACCUUUCCUUGAUGGAUGCGAAAGAAGUACCAAUUUAUUAAGCUCCUAAUAUGUGCCAGAUGCUCCAUAUAUGUUACUUUUGAUCUUCACAAUCGCUCAGCAACUUAUUGCUUCUCCUCACUCCCAAUUACACAGAUGAUGAAAUUGAAGCAGAGUAGUUUGCCUAGGAUUAUAGAGCUAGGAGGGACUAGAGUUGGGAUUCUCCCUCAGCACUAAUACAUGGUAUGUCACAUUUCCUGUCUGGUAGUAACAAAGCUUCUAAGAAAUCUGAGUUUUCAUUUGUUAAAACUGAAUUUUUAAGAAAUGUAGACAGGAGUACUAAGUACUCUGUAGUUUAAUGCUAAUAUUGGUACAAGUAUAUAACUAGUUUCUCAUGCACUGGUAUAACAUACUUCAGAGGGUACACCAGGGCUGGAUGAGUAUGUGAACUCAAAAAUAUCUGAGACAGGUCUCAGUUAACUUAGAAAGUUUAUUUUGACAAGGUUGAGAUGUGUACCCAUGACACAGCCUCAGGUGGUCCUGACAAUAUGUGCCCAAAGUGGUUAGGGCAAAGCUUGUUUUUAUACAUUUAAGGGAGACAUGAGACAUCAAUCAAUAUAUGUAAGAUGUACAUUGGUUAUGUCCAGAAAGGCACAACAACUUAAGCAGGGAGGGGGCUUCCAGGUCAUAUGUAGGUGAGAGAUAAAUGGUUGCAUUCUUUUGAGUUUCUGAUUAGCCUUUCCAAAGGAGGCAAUCAAAUACGCAUUUAUCUCAGUGAGCACAGGGGUGACUUUGAAUAGAAUGGGAGGCAGGUUUGCCCUAAACAGUUCCCAGCUUGACUUUUCCUUUUAGCUUAGUGAUGUUGGGACUCCAAGAUUUAUUUUCCUUUCACGCUUCUUCCAUUUUCUUUUAAAAAAUCUUUUGAAGAAAGCAUUUUAGAAGAAAAUGAGUCUCUGCUCUCAUGGCUAGAUAGUUUAUUCCUACAGGGGUAGGUCCUGAGUUAUUAGGAAAGCUCAUUUUUAGCAGGUUGAGAAAUCUCCUUUGAAGAGAAAAUAGUAGGAGGAAGGGAGAAAACAACAACAAACAAGAGAGCAAUCCUGGAAAAUCUAUAUAGACCACAUUACUUUGAAGUCCAUACAUCAGCAGGUAGGUAUGAAAGUGGCUUAUGUACAUAAACAGGUUGCUGUUAUUUUCUUCUGAAGUUUAAGUUGUUCAGAUUCAGUCUGCAGGACUUUAGAAAGUAUAGCUUAGUUUUCAAUUAUUUCAAAUUAGGAAAAAUGGGGUGAGAGGAAGGAAAAGAAGGAAAACCUUGAAAACAUUAUUUUGGAGACUUGUAGCCAGGAAAAAUUAGAAUUCAGUCUAAACUGUAGAAAAUAAUAAAAAUAGAAAAACAUUAGGCAAGACUAAAAUCUAACAACAGGUAUACUAUAGUUUUUGAAACAUAUUUUUUCUCUCUCUAGUUUCCCAUUUUUACUAAAGACAAAUCACGGAGGAACCAAUUUGCUUUAUUAUACUUGGCCAGAUUAUUUGUAUGAAGUGAAGCAAGAAUAAUUAUUUUUCACAUAGGCUUUUAAAAUUAACUUUGGUGGACUUCUUCCAUAGAAGGAAUCUCAGAUAAGGCUUUUUUAAAGCCCAGCCCAGCCAUAGAUUUGUACCAUCAAAUACCUAUGAGUUGGGUGAAUCAUUCUCCUUUUGAGUCCCAAGAUAACUUAGGGCUCUUGGGCCUGUCAGAAAGUGACAUUCUUUACUUACCACAGGUCAGGAACAUUGUUCAGGGACUGUGCAGACAAGGUAUGAGGCCAGUUUCCCCAAGGGGUCUUUAUUGGCUCUAUGAAUCAAGUUUAAUACCUUAAAGGAAAGUACACCAUUCCAGCCAAAGACUCAGUAAAAUAACCAGUUUCUCCAAUUGUGUCCUGUUACAAAUAAAAACAGAUUCUUAUUUCA